UACGGAGGGUGCAAGCGUUAAUCGGAAUUACUGGGCGUAAAGCGCACGCAGGUGGCUGAGUCAGUCGAUUGUGAAAGCCCUGGGCUUAACCUGGGAAUUGCAGUCGAUACUACUCAGCUAGAGUAUGGGAGAGGGUAGUGGAAUUCCCGGUGGUAGCGGUGAAAUGCGUAGAUAUCGGGAGGAACAUCAGUGGCGAAGGCGGCUACCUGCCCAAUACUGACACUCAGGUGCGACACGUGGGGAGCAAACAGG
rnacentral:rRNA from 1 species